UACGAAGGGUGCAAACGUUGCUCGGAAUCAUUGGGCGUAAAGCGCACGUAGGCGGCUUCGCAAGUCGGAUGUGAAAUCCCGUGGCUCAACCAUGGAUGUGCAUCCGAAACUGCGAGGCUUGAGUAUGGAAGAGGGUCGCGGAAUUCCCGGUGUAGAGGUGAAAUUCGUAGAUAUCGAGAGGAACACCGGUGGCGAAGGCGGCGAUCUGGACGAUGACUGACGCUGAGACGCGAAAGCGUGGGGAGCAAACAGG
rnacentral:rRNA from 1 species